rnacentral:rRNA from 1 species
GCUGGACUAUUUAUUACCCUUGUCUUUUGCGCACUUGUUGUUUCCUGGGCGGGUUCGCUCGCCACCAGGACCACAAUAUAAACCUUUUUUAUGCAGUUGCAAUCAGCGUCAGUAUAACAAAUGUAAAUCAUUUACAACUUUCAACAACGGAUCUCUUGGUUCUGGCAUCGAUGAAGAACGCAGCGAAAUGCGAUACGUAGUGUGAAUUGCAGAAUUCAGUGAAUCAUCGAAUCUUUGAACGCACAUUGCGCCCUUUGGUAUUCCAAAGGGCAUGCCUGUUCGAGCGUCAUUUGUACCCUCAAGCUUUGCUUGGUGUUGGGCGUUUUUGUCUUUGGCCCGCCAAAGACUCGCCUUAAAAUGAUUGGCAGCCGGCCUACUGGUUUCGCAGCGCAGCACAUUUUUGCGCUUGCAAUCAGCAAAAGAGGACGGCAAUCCAUCAAGACUCCUUCUCACGUUUGACCCCGGAUCAGGUAGGGAUACCCGCUGA